rnacentral:tRNA from 1 species
GAAGGUAUAGCAAAGUGGUAAAGCACUAGAUUGCAAUUCUAAGAGCGUGGGUUCGAUUCCCGCUACCUUCUCCA